rnacentral:rRNA from 1 species
CCUACGGGAGGCUGCAGUGGGGAAUAUUGGACAAUGGGGGGAACCCUGAUCCAGCCAUGCCGCGUGUGUGAAGAAGGCCCUCGGGUUGUAAAGCACUUUCAGUGAGGAAGAACGCCUGGUGGUUAAUACCCAUCAGGAAAGACAUCACUCACAGAAGAAGCACCGGCUAACUCCGUGCCAGCAGCCGCGGUAAUACGGAGGGUGCGAGCGUUAAUCGGAAUUACUGGGCGUAAAGCGCGCGUAGGUGGCUUGAUAAGCCGGUUGUGAAAGCCCCGGGCUCAACCUGGGAACGGCAUCCGGAACUAUCAAGCUAGAGUGCAGGAGAGGAAGGUAGAAUUCCCGGUGUAGCGGUGAAAUGCGUAGAGAUCGGGAGGAAUACCAGUGGCGAAGGCGGCCUUCUGGACUGACACUGACACUGAGGUGCGAAAGCGUGGGUAGCAAACAGGAUUAGAUACCCCUGUAGUC